rnacentral:ncRNA from 1 species
AUAGAUAAAGGCAAACCCUGAGUGAUCAGGGGGCGCAAAGUAAAGGGUCUUAAUUAGUUUUAAGUUCCGAGUUUUGAGACAUGGUUCAGAAGACAGCCUUACUGCCGAAG